UCCUCCUAUGAAGGCGUGUCCAUGGUUCCCUGUCUUUGGACACGUAAGAAUUGGAGGCACAGAAGCGUGGACUGGAGAGGCCUGGGGCCAGUUCACUUUCAGCAGCUCAAGAUCAACCACCCCACACAG